rnacentral:rRNA from 1 species
AGGACGAACGCUGGCGGCGUGCCUAAUACAUGCAAGUCGAACGAACUGUGGAAAGCUUGCUUUCAGAGUUAGUGGCGAACGGGUGAGUAACACGUAAGUAACCUAGCUAUUAGACGAGGAUAACUACUGGAAACGGUAGCUAAGACUGGAUAUGAUAGAAAUAUUUAAAGGAUGCUAAGGCAUCGCUAAUAGAGGGGCUUGCGGCGCAUUAGCUAGUUGGUAGGGUAAAAGCCAACCAAGGCGAUGAUGCGUAGCCGACCUGAGAGGGUGACCGGCCACACUGGGACUGAGACACGGCCCAGACUCCUACGGGAGGCAGCAGUAGGGAAUCUUCGGCAAUGGACGGAAGUCUGACCGAGCAGCGCCGCGUGAGUGAAGAAAGUUUUCGGAUUGUAAAGCUCUGUUAUUAGGGAAGAAAGGCUCUAGGAGGAAAUGCUUAGGGAUUGACGGUACCUAAUGAGGAAGCCACGGCUAACUACGUGCCAGCCGCAGC